AGGUUUAGGUUUGGCUGUCAGCCCAUGAAAACCUUCCAAACAGUUAUCAAGAACAAAAUGGGUUUCCAAAGCCUGCAUUAUAGAAUAUAUAAAAGCUUUUAUUAUUUAUUUUAAAGUGUAGACAUAACAUCUGCAUACAUUUUGUGGAUGAGAUUUUAAAAGAAAAGAAAAAAAAAACUCAUUGGCAACUAAUAAGGUGUUUGUGAACAAACAGGUAACUUGGAUCACUGAUAUUUGUCUUUUUCAACAUAAAUCAAGACCCAUAUUUUGAUAUUGCCUUGGACUUUGUCUUCCAUUUAAAAGCACGAACAUAAAUAUGUCUGUAGAAAAGCACGUCUUACGGUCGUGUCUACCUGAGGCAAUGAAAGUCAGCUGGGUCUGUACAAUUGAGUUCAUUUUAGCCAGAGGCUCCUAGUCUGUCUGCACAGAUGCCAAACAGCACAAAUUGGGACUUGCACCGAGACACAUUCAUCACAAACAGGAGCAUGCCUGAGCACAACUUCAUCUAAUUUGGCAGCGUCAACAGCUCCCAGGAAACAACAGUAGCAUGGGCAGGAGCUCCCAGCAUCGUCUUACCAGCAAGAAGUCGCUUCUGAGCAAAACGCUCAGGUGUUUCACCAGGGAUGGAUGCAAGGUCGAACGUUAUCAACAAUGAUUUUAACAGUGCCUAGUUAAUGAAGACAAUGAUGGUUCAACCACCAGUUUUAUCUGUCAGGCACUUUCAUACACAGGUAGUGAUACAUGAACAACAGAAUUGUAUUCAGAUAACGAUGGUCUACAGUGGCAUUUUCUCUGCUGAAUUCCAGCUGGUGAGUGAAGCAUUUUGACGAAUGUAUAGCCACGUUCUGUCAGAGUUACCACAAAUGCUAUAGAAUUGUGCAGUCCAGUGGGGUAACCAUUAGCCACAGGUGGCUAUUGAGCACUGUCAAUGGGGCUAAUCAAAACUGAGAUGUACUGUGCAUAUAAAAUACAUGUGGGAUUUCGAAGAAUUAGUGUGAAAAAGGAUGUAAGUUGUGCCAUUAAUAAUUUUAUGUUGAAUAUAUGUUAAAAUGCUUGGAUGUCUUGGAUUAUACAAAAUACAUUAUUGAAAUUAAUUUUGCCAAUUUGCAUUUUUUAAUGUGACUACUAGAAAAAUUUAAAUUACAUGUGUGGCUCAUAUUCAUGGCUCAUAUUGUUUUUAAUUGGGCAAUGCAACUAUAGAAUGUAUGGCUAAUUUUUAAGCCAAAAAUUAUCAGCUUUAUUUAUUUUUGCAGUCAUGCUGAAUACAAUUUAGUUUUCCAAGUGGAUCAGAAAUUAUUUUCAUAUUUUUCACAACCUCAAAAUAAGUUUUUGGGAUGUUGAAUUAUGGAUUUAUAGAUUUUAUUCCACAUCAGAUAAGCUAUGUAACUUUUGCAUGUAAUCGACAUUCUCUGAAGACAAAGGAUAGCAUUCUACAGAUAAAUAGUAAAGAAAACAAAUUAAUGUAUUCAUUCAAAAAAAUGUGCUUUGGGCCUAUUUGGCACUAGGUAGUGUGCUGUGUUCUGGAGGGCAAUAAAAAAAUAAGGCAAGUUUCCUGCUUUCAAAGAGUUCUCUGUCGCAUGGAAAGGAUGAUCUUGCAUACAGAUGAACAGAGGAAGUGUCAUCCUAAGGAACUCAACAACAAAAAGCUCUGUGUGUCCAGGAGGGCAGGGUGAUUCUCUUUGCUGAUCAUGAGGCCUGGUGAAAUAAAUUGGAGGAUGAAAAAUCAGUUCCAUUCUCUGUAACACCACAAUUUUCAAAAGGUUAAGACCACUGUCUUGCUAAGACUCUACUUGCCAUGACAUUCAGCUUCAUCUGCAUUUCUCCCAUGCCCCCAGCGGCCGUCCUGUAACCCAGCUAUACGUGUUUCUGGGCAGGCCACUCGCUUGUGAUGAAGGCUGGGAGGCUGGAGGCUCUUUCCUCCAAAUGCUUGUUCAUCAAAAGUCCUCAGCCAGGGAUCCCUUCACUUCAGGAACACGAUUGAUGAAGCAGCUUCUAUCAGAGACAUCUCCUAUCUGGGGGCAGAGGAAAGAGAUGUGGUAAUUC
rnacentral:lncRNA from 10 species